ACAGCGCUCCUAUUGGCGGAAACUCUAGGUUUGUCUCGGCUUUAGCCAAUCAGAGCGCAGAGUCAGCGCGUGGACAGCGCAUGCAUACGAGAGUGCAGCGCGUGCUCAGGAGAUGAGAGACGAAAACUCAGCGUUUAUAGUAAACACCAGAAACCUGGGAAGUACAGGCGUUUCCCUCUUAGGCCCAUAGUGCUUUAUUCACAUUCACCCAUGCACACACAAUGGCGCCAACCUGUAACCACCAGGAGCAGUGUGGGGAUCAGCGUCUUGCCCAAGGACACUUCCACACAUGUGGGCCGGAUGGAAACGAACCUACAAUCUUCAGAUCAGCUGCUCUUCCUCUGCACCACGCCGCCACCGCAGAUAUUAUUGGAAGAAGAUCAAAUUUGGUCUAAAUUUUAAAAGAAAAAUGAAUAAAAAACAUUUUGCAAC